rnacentral:misc_RNA from 1 species
AUAAUUAUUAUGCAGUGUAAGCAGCGAGUGUUGCAUUUAUUAGCUUUAUUUCAUGUUUCAUUUUUUUUUAUUUAGAUAGUGCACCUUGUUAAAAAAAGUUUCGAUAUCUAGCUAGUAACGGUCGACGCGCAAUUUAUGAGCUAUAAAUAUUAAAUUAAUAGAAAAAUUAUAUUCAGCACCAUGAUUCGCUGUAGACCGAAAUAGAUAAUCUUUAACUUUAUUGUUGUGUUUAAAAAGUUUUGUCAAGUACAAAAUUAAAAAGUAACACUCUCUUUCUCUCUCUCUCUCUCUCUCUCUUAAAAAAUUUCAUAAUACUCGUAUUACUUUAAAAUGUCUUCAUGUUGCCUUAAUAUACUUUUUUUUAUUAAUGACGCGCGGAUCAAGUAAAACAAAAAAAAAUUUUGAAUAAUGCCUAAAAUUUAACUAUUUUCGAAAUUUUCAAAGUUUAUUAGUUUAGACACUUUACUUUUUAAGUCUAGUUAUUUUUUAAGUCUUAAAAUUCUUUUUUUUUUUUACAAAUAAUUUGCUAUCAUUGAUGUUGUUUUUUAUUAAAAUUUAUUUUUAUUAAUUUUUUCUCUCAUAUUAAUUAUCUUCCUACAUCUGUCACCAAUUGCACGAUAAUAUCGUCAAUAUGUGUUAACAAAAAAUAUCGUCUUUAUAUAAAAUUGUCGACCAAUAUCAGAGCGAACGUUCUGUGUCGCUUUAAUAUAAUAUUGAAGCUUUAUUUAAUCCGCAUGUAUUUGUGCUGCUACGAUUUCAGUUGAAUUUACAUUUUCCAAUAGCGGCAUUUGGCAGUUGCUCGUCGUUCACCCCCUCGGUUAAUUUUAUUGAUUCGCGAAAUGUUAUAAUUAUCACACAUUGUGUUUGCGUGUGCACCCAUCGCAUUAAGUGCAUCUAGCAUAAUAAUAGCUCGAAAAGUGACAUAUACCGCAGCAUUUAGAGAUACUGUGUUAUAUUAUAUGUAGUAUAAUAAAUAAUUACAUAUAAAUAAAUUAUAUGUAGUAUAAUAAAUAAUAUUUGAAGUAAUAUUUGUUAAAAUCUAAUGACUAUUUUAAAUUAUCUUUUCUUUAUUAGUGAAAAACAGAAACUUAUGAUAAUGUUUGUAAAAAGUUGAGAGAUUUACUACGCCGAGAAAUGAUAAAUCUCGCUUUUAUGCGUCUAUGCUUCUUCGAUCGAGAAUUUUAUCCGAUUUUUCACAGAUAAUUUUUGCGUUCGAUUCACUCAUUCAUCCCGAGCGCACAGAUACAGCAGGGGAACCGCCAUGUUAAACUCAAUUAACGAGCAAACGCACGUUUGCAAUGUUCGUCGUUGUCGCAGUCGUCAGACCGAAACAGCAUUCGAAUAAUAUCCACGACUGUAACUCGGAGUAAACAGUUACAAGGUAUAAUUGCAUAAACAUUAGAGAGACGCAACAAAAUAGAGCCGGUGGAGUUAAGGUUCUACAUUCUAAACUCCGGUGGCAACGGAGAUGGAGUCAGGAGUAGAGACGGCGGGAGAAACGGAGGGGCACUCUGUUUGUUCCUGUGUCAGAUGAUAACUACGUCGAAGUUUCUCGAGGCAUUCAUUCCCUAUAUAUAAGUAGGGAAUCCAUUUAGUUAAUUAUAAAAGAAGGUGUGGUGUCGAACGGACCAAUCCGACCGGUUCAUUUGUCCUCCAGCCUCCGUCGAGCAUUUUGAUUAUUAACGCGGUAUCCCGAUCGCGGCUCAGUGACAAAGAACCAGCUUUACGAGAACCGUCGAACGUAUCAAUACUAGAACCUGUCGAGCACAUCGAUAGUAAAUAUCAAUACCUGCGAGUCCAAGACUCGAAUGUAAUCUUGACGCAUGAGUCUGCUAAAUGUCUAUCACCAAAAUCAGCAAAUUCAAAGCUUCCGAGAACUUCUUCACAAGCGACAAGAUGUCCACAGCUAGCUUUCGUGAAUGUUGGGAUGUUUGUGCCUCCGACGUCGCUCGUAGAACGCACAAUCCCAUAAGAUCGAUUGUAGAAAAUAUCGCCACCGAUCCCAAUCCAAAGAAGCAGAUGAUCGCGUUGUCUAUUGGCGAUCCUACAACUUUCGGCAAUUUAAAACCACCGAAGGAAGUAAUUGAGGCCGUUCAGGAGAGCGUUGCUUCGCAAUUAUACAACGGAUAUGCACCGAGCAUAGGUUAUCAGACGGCGCGAGAAGCCGUAGCUGAGUACAGCUCGAACGAACUCGUGAAAGUCGAUCCCAAGGACGUAAUCCUGUGCAGUGGAUGUUCUUGCGCACUCGACUUGUGUAUUACAGCUUUAGCUCGAGAAGGCCAAAAUAUUCUAAUUCCACGGCCCGGGUUUUCCAUCUACCGAACGCUAGCGGAGGGUCUCGGUAUUAUGGUCAAAACGUACAAUUUACGUCCGGAACUCGGUUGGGAGAUCGAUCUAGACGACCUAAAGGACCAAAUCGACGAGUCGACGGCGGCGAUUGUUAUAAACAAUCCGUCAAAUCCAUGCGGCUCCGUGUUCAGCCGCGACCAUAUACUUGACAUUCUCAACAUCGCCGCACGUUACUACGUACCCAUUAUAGCCGAUGAGAUUUACGAGCACAUGGUAUUUCCAGGACGGACUUUCCACUCGUUAGCGUCUCUAUCGACCGAAGUUCCUAUUUUGUCGUGCAGCGGACUGACUAAAAGAUUUUUAGUACCAGGAUGGCGUAUGGGUUGGAUAAUAAUCCACGAUCGUCAGAACGUGCUGGAAACCGAGAUUCGCAAAGGUUUACAUUGCUUGAGCCAACGAAUAAUCGGCAGCAAUACUAUUGUUCAAGGUGCCUUGCCCAGCAUACUUAGAAAAACUCCACAGAAGUUUUUCGACGAUGUUAUUCGUACUCUACACUCGCAUUCCAAAUUGGCCUACAAGUGCAUCACAAAGAUCCCAGGACUGAAGCCAAUAAUGCCGGAUGGAGCGAUGUACAUGAUGGUCUACAUCGAUCUGCCGUGCUUUCCGGAAUUUAAUUCCGAUCUGGAAUUCGUGCAGAGACUUCUAAUAGAAGAAUCCGUGUUUUGUCUACCCGGCCAGGUUUCAGGUAGAGGGCCACUUUUUUUUCGCCACGAAAAUCUACGGAUGGAGAAAAAAUUGCGGCCGUUGUAAAUCUUGCCGCGAGGAGAUACAGCGGCGUACAGAAAUUAGAAAACACCGAACGCGAACCGCAUUGUUUCUCACAAGGGUAUGAUGAACUCUACCCACGUAAAUCUCAGAUAAUUCAAUUAGAGAUG